UACAGCUUUUAUUCCUUUAUGAAAAAUUGCUUGAAGCUUCCACAAUACUCUUCAUCUUUGAUUUUAGUUUUUUAACAUGGUAUUAAAACAGGAAUUAGGGUUCCUGAUAUGAGUUCUUGAUUUUUUUUGUUGAAAUUUUUAUUGCAAUAGAUGUAAUUUUUGUUUGGCAUCAUUUCUUGUUGAUUUCUGGUGAUUCUUGCUCGUUUUGUUGAAAUUCUUGAUUUCUUGCUUGAGAAACGAGUAGUUCAACUAAGAAUACCACAUUUGCCAUUGAAGAUUCACAAUCUCCCUAUUUCCUUCAUCACAUUGAUCAUUACGGAUUAGUUGUGAUUACUCCUAAACUCACAUCCAGCAACUAUGUUGCUUGAAGCAAAUCAUUCAUGCUUGCCCUUUCAAUUAGGAAUAAGGUAGGGUUUAUAGGUAGAACUGUACCUACACCAACUAUUACUGAUUCACUGUUUGGGCCAUGGAUUCAUUGUAAUAAUUUGAUCUUAGCCUGGCUCUUAGAAUCAAUUACACCUCUUAUUGCUUCCACUGUAUUUUACAUGGAUUCAGCUGCUGAAUUUUGGAAUACUUUGAAGUUAAAUUUUGCUUAACCCAAUGAUACAAGGGUUUGUAAUCUCCAAUAUAAUCUUGGCAAUGUUUCUCAAGGCAAUAGAUCUGUAGAUUCGUACUUCAUUGAAUUUAAAGAUAUUUGGGUGAAAUUACAAGCCUCUGCCACAAUGGUGUGGGAAAUGCAAUUAAGCAUGUUUUAAAAAUACUUUGACCAGUACAAGAAAGAUAUGGUGUUUAGGUUCAUCAAUGGGCUCCAUGAUUCUUUUUCAGCUUUGAGAACUCAGAUUAUUGUUAUGGAACCUUUUCCUACUUUAGAUGAAGUGUACAAUUUAGUUCUCUGAGAAGAAAUCAGAAGAGUUUUUUGUUACAAUCUAGUCCUUUGAUUGAGUCAUCUGUAGUGGCAAUAGCUACUGAUAAUAAGAUGAAGGGAAAACCAGAUGUGACUUGCAGCCACUGUGGUAAAAAGGGUCAUAUAAAGGAAAAAUGCUUUAGCUUAAUAGGUUUUCCUAAAGACUUCAAGUUUACAAAAGACAAGGACAAGGGAAGUUUCAGAAAAUAAAAUCCUAAUUCUACUGUUAACAGUGUUUCUGCUAUUACUGAUUCAUCUUCAUAUGCAGAAAGAGCAUCGCAACCAAGCCAAGAAGAAGAGUGUGGUGGUUCUAAUUCUAUGUGUCAGAUGUCUAUCAUAAAGCAACAACUUCAAAAAUUAAUGGCACUCAUCAAUGUUGACAAUUCUGACAUUGAUCAAGCUGCUUCAGGGAUUUUCUGUUAAAGGGGAGUAUAAUAAACUUAACAAGCAGCAGUUGGUAUGCAAAUUACAUAAGUCCCUAUAUGGACUCAAACAAGCUUCAAGACAAUGGAAUUCAAAGUUCACUACUACACUUUUGAAGUAUGGUUUUAAGCAAUAAAUUUCUAAUUACUUUUUGUUUACUUUACUCACAGACAGAGGUGUAUUUGUUACCCUAUUAGUUUAUGUUGAUGAUAUUUUACUAGGCAGUACUUCAGUUCAAGCUUUAAAUGAUGUUAAGACAUACUUAAGCUCUUAAUAUAAGCUUAAGGAUCUUGGAAAUGUAAAGUAUUUCUUGGGAUUAGAA